UACGAAGGGUGCAAGCGUUAAUCGGAAUUACUGGGCGUAAAGCGUGCGUAGGCGGUUUGUUAAGUCUGCUGUGAAAUCCCCGGGCUCAACCUUGGGCUUGCAGUGGGUACGGGCAGACUAGAGUGCGGUAGGGGUGACUGGAAUUCCCGGGUGUAGCGGUGAAAUGCGCAGAUAUCGGGAAGAACACCCGUGGCGAAGGCGGCCCACUGGGCCGGUACUGACGCUGAGGCACGAAGGCGUGGGGAGCGAACGGG
rnacentral:rRNA from 1 species